UACGGAGGGUGCAAGCGUUAUCCGGAUUCACUGGGUUUAAAGGGCGCGUAGGCGGCCACCGCAAGUCAAUUGUGAAAUCUCCGGGCUUAACUCGGAAAGGUCAACUGAUACUGCGGGGCUAGAGUGCGGAAGGGGCAACUGGAAUUCUCGGUGUAGCGGUGAAAUGCGUAGAUAUCGAGAGGAACACCUGCGGCGAAGGCGGGUUGCUGGGCCGACACUGACGCUGAUGCGCGAAAGCCAGGGGAGCGAACGGG
rnacentral:rRNA from 1 species